GAUCCUGGCUCAGAUUGAACGCUGGCGGAAUGCUUUACACAUGCAAGUCGAACGGUAGAGGGGGCAACCCUUGAGAGUGGCGAACGGGUGAGUAAUAUAUCGGAACGUGCCCAGUCGUGGGGGAUAACGUAGCGAAAGUUACGCUAAUACCGCAUACGAUCUAAGGAUGAAAGCGGGGGAUCGCAAGACCUCGCGCGAUUGGAGCGGCCGAUAUCAGAUUAGGUAGUUGGUGAGGUAAAGGCUCACCAAGCCAACGAUCUGUAGCUGGUCUGAGAGGACGACCAGCCACACUGGAACUGAGACACGGUCCAGACUCCUACGGGAGGCAGCAGUGGGGAAUUUUGGACAAUGGACGCAAGUCUGAUCCAGCCAUUCCGCGUGCAGGAUGAAGGCCCUCGGGUUGUAAACUGCUUUUGUACGGAACGAAAAGGUCUCUAUUAAUACUAGGGGCUCAUGACGGUACCGUAAGAAUAAGCACCGGCUAACUACGUG
rnacentral:rRNA from 1 species